rnacentral:rRNA from 1 species
CUGGAACACAGGUGSYGCAUGGCUGUCGUCAGCUCGUGUCGUGAGAURUUGGGUUAAGUCCCGCAAYGAKCGCAACCCUWGUCGUUAAUUGCCAUCAUUUAGUUGGGCACUUUAACGAGACUGCCGGUGACAAACCGGAGGAAGGUGGGGAUGACGUCAAGUCCUCAUGGCCCUUAUGGGUAGGGCUUCACASGUCAUACAAUGGUCGGUACAAAGGGUUGCCAACCCGCGAGGGGGAGCCAAUCCCAGAAAGCCGAUCGUAGUCCGGAUUGCARGCUGCAACUCGCCUGCAUGAAGUCGGAAUCGCUAGUAAUCGUGGAUCAGCAUGUCACGGUGAAUACGUUCCCGGGUCUUGUACACACCGCCCGUCACACCAUGGGAGCGGGUUCCGCCAGAAGUAGGUAGCCUAACCGCAAGGGGGGCGCUUWMCRCGGCGGGGUUCGUGACKGGGGUGAAGUSGUAACAAGGUAACCGUAAUCGAAUUCCCGCGGCC